GUCCACGCCGUAAACGAUGGAUGCCAGCCGUUGGCAAGCAUGCUUGUCAGUGGCGCAGCUAACGCAUUAAGCAUCCCGCCUGGGGAGUACGGCCGCAAGGUUGAAACUCAAAGGAAUUGACGGGGGCCCCGCACAAGCGGUGGAGCAUGUGGUUUAAUUCGACGCAACGCGCAGAACCUUACCAGGGUUUGACAUCCUGUGCUCACCUCAGAAAUGGGGUUUCCCCGCAAGGGGCGCAGAGACAGGUGCUGCAUGGCUGUCGU
rnacentral:rRNA from 1 species